rnacentral:rRNA from 1 species
GCAGCUUGCUGCUUCGCUGACGAGUGGCGGACGGGUGAGUAAUGUCUGGGAAACUGCCUGAUGGAGGGGGAUAACUACUGGAAACGGUAGCUAAUACCGCAUAACGUCGCAAGACCAAAGAGGGGGACCUUCGGGCCUCUUGCCAUCGGAUGUGCCCAGAUGGGAUUAGCUAGUAGGUGGGGUAACGGCUCACCUAGGCGACGAUCCCUAGCUGGUCUGAGAGGAUGACCAGCCACACUGGAACUGAGACACGGUCCAGACUCCUACGGGAGGCAGCAGUGGGGAAUAUUGCACAAUGGGCGCAAGCCUGAUGCAGCCAUGCCGCGUGUAUGAAGAAGGCCUUCGGGUUGUAAAGUACUUUCAGCGGGGAGGAAGGCGAUAAGGUUAAUAACCUUGUCGAUUGACGUUACCCGCAGAAGAAGCACCGGCUAACUCCGUGCCAGCAGCCGCGGUAAUACGGAGGGUGCAAGCGUUAAUCGGAAUUACUGGGCGUAAAGCGCACGCAGGCGGUCUGUCAAGUCGGAUGUGAAAUCCCCGGGCUCAACCUGGGAACUGCAUUCGAAACUGGCAGGCUAGAGUCUUGUAGAGGGGGGUAGAAUUCCGGGUGUAGCGGUGAAAUGCGUAGAGAUCUGGAGGAAUACCGGUGGCGAAGGCGGCCCCCUGGACAAAGACUGACGCUCAGGUGCGAAAGCGUGGG